rnacentral:rRNA from 1 species
GAAAGUAAAUAAGGGCGCAUGGCGGAUGCCUUGGCUCUCGGAGGCGAUGAAGGACGUGAUAAGCUGCGAUAAGCUUCGGGUAGGUGCAAAUGACCUUUGAUCCGAAGAUUUCCGAAUGGGACAACCCGGCAUUCUGAAGGAAUGUCAUCCAACUUUGUUGGAGGCUAACGCAGGGAACUGAAACAUCUUAGUACCUGCAGGAAAAGAAAAUAAAUAAUGAUUCCCCUAGUAGUGGCGAGCGAACGGGGAUUAGCCCAAACCACCCAUGUUACGGCAUGUGUGGGGUUGUAGGACUACGCCGUUGCAUGAAGACAUCAGAGAAGAACUUUCUGGAAAGAAAGACCAUAGAGCAUGACAGUUGCGUAUUCGAAUGUUGUCGAAGCAUAGUAGUAUCCUGAGUAGCGCGGAGCACGAGGAAUUCUGCGUGAAUCUGCCGGGACCAUCCGGUAAGGCUAAAUACUCCCGAGAGACCGAUAGCGAACCAGUACUGUGAAGGAAAGGUGAAAAGCACUUCGAAUAGAAGAGUGAAAUAGUCCCUGAAACCAUGCGCCUACAAGCGGUCGGAGCAGCUUAAGCUGUGACGGCGUGCCUUUUGCAUAAUGAACCUACGAGUUACUUUUUCCGGCAAGGUUAAGCAUCUUGAGAUGUGGAUCCGAAGCGAAAGCGAGUCUGAACAGGGCGGAUAGUCGGAAGGAGUAGACGCGAAACCAAGUGAUCUACCCUUGGGCAGGUUGAAGGUUAGGUAACACUAACUGGAGGACCGAACCGAUAAGCGUUGAAAAGCUUCCGGAUGACCUGAGGGUGGGGGUGAAAGGCUAAUCAAACUUGGAGAUAGCUCGUACUCCCCGAAAUGCAUUUAGGUGCAGCCUUGAGAGUUACUAAUGUGAGGUAGAGCGACUGAUAAGAUGCGAGGGCUUCACCGCCUAUCAAGUCUUGAUAAACUCCGAAUGCGCAUUAGUUCUAUCUCAGGAGUGAGGGCAUGGGUGCUAAGGUCCAUGUCCUAAAGGAGAAGAAUCCAGACCAUCAGCUAAGGUCCCCAAAUAAACACUAAGUUGAACUAACGAAGUCAGAUUGCUAAGACAGCUAGGAUGUUGGCUUGGAAGCAGCCAUUCAUUUAAAGAGUGCGUAACAGCUCACUAGUCGAGGAGUUUGGCGUGGAUAAUAAUCGGGCAUUAAGUGUUUUACCGAAGCUAUGGGAUACGUAAGUAUCGGUAGGGGAGCAUUCCACUCGGCGUUGAAGGCGAAGCGUGAGCUUUACUGGAGCGUGUGGAAAAGCAAAUGUAGGUAUAAGUAACGAUAAAGGGGGUGAGAAACCCCCUCGCCGAAAGACUAAGGUUUCCUGAUCAACGCUAAUCGGAUCAGGGUUAGUCGGGUCCUAAGGCUCAGCCGAACGGUGAGGCCGAUGGCAGAACAGGUUAAUAUUCCUGUACUACCUGUAGGAGUGACGUGGAGACGGAGGAGUGACAACGCCGCGGACUGACGGAAUAGUCCGUUAAAGGGUGUAGAUGUUGAUUAUCCCAGGCAAAUCCGGGAUAAGAGUCGAACCUGACAGUAUACCAAUUUCCCCGGAAAACGGUAAUAGUGCGUGUAAACAUACUCCCAAGAAAAUCCGCUAAACUUAAUCUUACAGGUACCCGUACCGUAAACGGACACACGUAGUCGGGUUGAAUAUACUCAGGCGCUUGAGUGAAUCACGGUUAAGGAACUAGGCAAAUUGACCCUGUAACUUCGGGAUAAAGGGUCCCUACCCGGUGACGGGAGGGCGCAGAGAAUAGGUCCAGGCAACUGUUUAACAAAAACACAGGGCUGUGCAAAAUUGAAAGAUCACGUAUACAGCCUGACACCUGCCCGGUGCUGGAAGGUUAAGAGGAGAUGUCAUCGCAAGAGAAGCAUUGAAUUGAAGCCCCAGUAAACGGCGGCCGUAACUAUAACGGUCCUAAGGUAGCGAAAUUCCUUGUCGGGUAAGUUCCGACC